AAGGGCACCACAAGAACGCGUGGAGCAUGUGGCUUAAUUUGACCCAACGCGGGAAAUCUUACCAGGUCCAGACAUAUUGAGGAUUGACAAGCGAUAAUAUUAAAAUAAUAAUUUAUUAUUGUUUUAAUAUAUAAAAAUGAUAGUCCUUUCAUGAUUAUAUGAUAGGUGGUGCAUGGCCGUUCUUAGUUCGUGGAGUGAUCUGUCUGCUUAAUUGCGUUUCAGAUAAUUAAAUAUAAUUAUAAUUUAUAUUUAUAUUAUUACUGUUCUGCUAUUAUUUUAUAAUAGAAUGUGAACGUAAUUAUAAUAUAUUUUAUAAUUUAUUAUAAAUGAAUGCAACGAACGUGACCG
rnacentral:rRNA from 1 species